UGCUUUUCUCUCCAUUGUACCGAACUCGUACCGAACCGCGACGUCUGAACCGAGGUAUGAACCGAACCAUGACUUCUGUGUAGCGUUCCACC